rnacentral:lncRNA from 1 species
GAAGAAGCGCCGUCGUAGAUCUUCAACGCUUUCUGAAGAAGUCGUAGUGCGUAUUCAUAGUCGUCCAUCAACUCGUACACGGCGGAAACGUCGAUAAAACCUGUGGCGAUUUCCUCCAAAGGAGUCCCCGGAGGUGGUUUUCCGUAGAUCUUGAGAGCGUUCUCACAGUAAGAAAUCGAUUCCCGUAUCUUACCUAUCUUGUUGUGUAGGUAGCCUAAUCUGACGAAGACGGAAGCCACGGCGGGAUGAGCAUCGCCUUUGGAGGAUUUGAGUUUGUUCAGAGCUUUAUGGUAGGCAAAAAUGGCUUCUUCGUAGCGACCUAGCGACAAGUAAGCAUCGCCGAUGCUGCAGUCUAUGGAUGCCAUGUCGAUUUCGCGACCGUCGGCGGUCAUACCCAUACUUGCCAGCACCAGAUGCUCCAGCGCUGCAUCGUGGUCCCCUUUGGUCUCGCAGAUCAAACCCAUCAGCUUUCUAUCGUCAUUUUGCGCCGAAAUCGCCGCCGGAUCGGUGUUCUCCAUGUGGAUGUCAAGAGCGAGUUUACAGAGUUUCUCAGCCUCGUCGAACUGUAAGGCUUGGACAUGGACUUCGGCCAAAUACCGACAGGUUUCGCCGACUCGUCGGUCGGAUUCUCCCAAUGCUUGUUUCUGAAGUUGAAGACCGUCGGAAUAACAGAUGAUAGCAUUCUCUAACAUACCCAGCAUCCCAUACGUGUCUCCCAGUUGCAUACACCCCGCGAAUUUGGCAAGAGCAUGACCGUCAUUGUUGUUAUCAUUCACCACCGGAAUCGAAAUGGCCCGUUUGAGAAUGGGGAUAGCGAGGGCGUGUUGACCUAAACUGCAAUGGAUUGCGGCGAGAGCAUGAAGACUCAUCACCAAAUCCAAACUCGGUUUUCCAUCGGAACAUUUCUCAAGAGAUUUCGAAGCUCGGAUUGCGUAGUCCAAUGCUCGCCGAGGAUUGUCACUUUGAAUCAAGUCGAUCGCAUGUUUGAGAAGAAAAGGUCCGAGGUUAGGGUUUUCAACCAACAUCUCCGAACCAGACGUCACCUCGGUGUCAUUUCCAACCCCAACAUCCUUCUUUGUCUUCUUCUUCCUCACCGAAUUCCUCUUCUUCCUCGUCUUCACACUUCCAACCUCCUCCUCUCGAUCUUCAUUAUCCUUCUCCACGAAGUGAUCUUCCUCCGGUGAAAUAUCUAAAUUCGUCGUUAUUUCCCCACCGACGAGAUGUCGGAGUUCGGAGUCGAUUCUGGAUUCAUCGUCGUCGUCUCCAUCAGAUCCAUAAGUGUUCCGGGAAAGCGAACCAUCUUCGGAGCUCUCCUCCAUGUCGCAGACAUUAUCGUAGAGUUGAUCUAUGGAAGUAUCUACGCAGGACGAAGCUUGCUGCUGCUGCUGGAUCUUUGGAGAAUUCAAAUCACCAUUGGAUUUCAUAUCUAAUUAUGAACAUGUAUCGAUCAAUUACAAUUUACAACAGUCAAACAAAGAUCAAGAAAGAAAAUGUCAGAUCGGAAGAAGAAGAAAAAGAAAAAAAAGCAUCGACCAUCCAUACCUCAAAAUCAAACAGUUGGGGAAAUCUGGAGAAAUUGUCGUUGUAUGUAUGUAUGACCCCAAAAUCCAUACAUAUGUGCUUCGAUCUUCCUUUUUAUAUCCAUUUUCCAUCUAAUUUACGGUUUUACCCCCGAAUCUAAGAAUCUUACAUUGUAUACUUUUUUGGGAUGGUCGGAACUGGGGCCCAUAAUAUUAAA